AGUGAACGCUGGCGGUAGGCCUAACACAUGCAAGUCGAACGGCAGCACAGUAAGAGCUUGCUCUUACGGGUGGCGAGUGGCGGACGGGUGAGGAAUACAUCGGCAUCUACUUUUUCGUGGGGGAUAACGUAGGGAAACUUACGCUAAUACCGCAUACGACCUACGGGUGAAAGCAGGGGAUCUUCGGACCUUGCGCGAUUGAAUGAGCCGAUGUCGGAUUAGCUAGUUGGCGGGGUAAAGGCCCACCAAGGCGACGAUCCGUAGCUGGUCUGAGAGGAUGAUCAGCCACACUGGAACUGAGACACGGUCCAGACUCCUACGGGAGGCAGCAGUGGGGAAUAUUGGACAAUGGGCGCAAGCCUGAUCCAGCCAUACCGCGUGGGUGAAGGAGGCCUUCGGGUUGUAAAGCCCUUUUGUUGGGAAAGAAAAGCAGCAGGUUAAUACCCCGCUGUUCUGACGGUACCCAAAGAAUAAGCACCGGCUAACUUCGUG
rnacentral:rRNA from 1 species